rnacentral:rRNA from 1 species
AGAGUUUGAUCCUGGCUCAGGAUGAACGCUAGCGACAGGCCUAACACAUGCAAGUCGAGGGGCAUCGGGACGUAGCAAUACGUUGCCGGCGACCGGCGGAUGGGUGAGUAACGCGUAUGCAACCUACCCGCAGCAGGGGGAUAGCCCGUUGAAAGACGGAUUAAUACCCCGUAACACAGGGGCUCCGCAUGGAGAUUAUUGUUAAAGGGUCAUUUCUUUUUCAGGGAUGGUCCGGCUGCGGAUGGGCAUGCGUUCCAUUAGGUAGUUGGUGUAGGUAAUGGCUCACCAAGCCGACGAUGGAUAGGGGAACUGAGAGGUUGGUCCCCCACACUGGUACUGAGACACGGACCAGACUCCUACGGGAGGCAGCAGUGAGGAAUUUUGGUCAAUGGACGCAAGUCUGAACCAGCCAUGUCGCGUGAAGGAGGACGGCCCUAAGGGUUGUAAACUUCUUUUGCAGUGGAAUAAAGUUUGCCACGUGUUGGCGAUUUGCAAGUACGCUGCGAAUAAGGAUCGGCUAACUCCGUGCCAGCAGCCGCGGUAAUACGGAGGAUCCAGGCGUUAUCCGGAUUUAUUGGGUUUAAAGGGUGCGCAGGCGGGGAAUUAGGUCGGCGGUGAAAUUUCGGGGCUCAACCUCGACAGUGCCGUUGAAACCGUUUCUCUUGAGUGCGGAUGAGGUAGGCGGAAUUUGUGGUGUAACGGUGAAAUGCGUAGAUAUCACAAGGAACACCGAUUGCGGAGGCAGCUUACUAAACCGUUACUGACGCUCAUGCACGAACGCGUGGGGAUCAAACAGGAUUAGAUACCCUGUAGUCCACGCAGUAAACGAUGAUUACUUGCUGUUUGCGAUACACAGUAAGCGGCGAAGCGAAAGCGUUAAGUAAUCCACCUGGGGAGUACGUUCGCAAGAAUGAAACUCAAAGGAAUUGACGGGGCCCGCACAAGCGGAGGAACAUG